rnacentral:rRNA from 1 species
UACGGAGGGAGCUAGCGUUGUUCGGAAUUACUGGGCGUAAAGCGCACGUAGGCGGCUUUGUAAGUUAGAGGUGAAAGCCCGGGGCUCAACUCCGGAACUGCCUUUAAGACUGCAUCGCUUGAAUCCAGGAGAGGGUGAGUGGAAUUCCGAGUGUAGAGGUGAAAAUUCGUAGAUAUUCGGAAGAACACCAGUGGCGAAGGCGGCUCACUGGACUGGUAUUGAC